UACGUAGGGUGCGAGCGUUUAAUCGGAAUUACUGGGCGUAAAGCGUGCGCAGGCGGUUUUGUAAGACAGGCGUGAAAUCCCCGAGCUCAACUUGGGAAUUGCGCUUGUGACUGCAAGGCUAGAGUGUGUCAGAGGGGGGUAGAAUUCCACGUGUAGCAGUGAAAUGCGUAGAGAUGUGGAGGAAUACCGAUGGCGAAGGCAGCCCCCUGGGACAUGACUGACGCUCCAUGGCACGGAAAGCGUGGGGAGCAAACAGG
rnacentral:rRNA from 1 species